CGGUGGUUUUCUUGUCGUUGAAAAUGCACUUAUAGAUGGAUGUUAGGAAUCGUUUAUUUAUGAGGAAUGAGGGGAAAAGCUUUUCGGCAUAAAAACCCUGGUUGAAAUACAGUUGAUGAUGAUGUGUCGCUGGCUUGCCUAUCGGCAGCUAUCGAGGUUGCUGUUAAUCCAAAGCAGACUAUAAUUCUGACCACGUGGCCUUCUUCCUUUUGUCCCUUUGUUCCACUGAUGUAAUAGUAGCGCAGGAGUGUAGUUCUCUUCGACGUGAUCUCUCGCAGCUCUCGUGGUAGAAUAGCAUUUAAACGUGAAAGCACUCGGCUUUUAUAGAAAAAGACGAUGCAACGCGCGGACCAAUUACCGAAAAGUUAGGUAACGUAGCUGUCGAUGCAUAUGAUUGGACUAAUAGAAAUGGAGGGAGUACGCGUGCUAGAAGAACGAAAGCGCCCUGCAAGGAGCUCGCUGCGCUCCUUUGUUAUACCGUAACUAAGAUGUUUCUUUGUCGCGAUAUCUCGACACGCGUCGAUACGUCUCGAAACGUCCAGAUGAUUCUCACUCAUUCGCUUGCGUAGGAUUACGCAACA
rnacentral:lncRNA from 1 species